UUAAAGAUGUUAGAAAUUUAGAAUAAGUUUGUUUUAGAAACAAAUAGUGAGUUAUUUAUACUCUCUUUAAA
rnacentral:tRNA from 1 species